UGAGUACGAGAUGCUACGGCAUUGAAGCAGUGUAUGUCAUACUUCCAAGAAAAGCUCGCAAUGUCAUAAAUAAAUAAUGCCUGUACCAUAACCGACACAGGUGGGUAGGUAGAGUAUACUAAGGGGCGCGAGAUAACUCUCUCUAAGGAACUCGGCAAAAUGACUCCGUAACUUCGGGAGAAGGAGUGCCUUAUUUUAUAAGGUUGCAAUAACAAGAUCCAAGCAACUGUUUACCAAAAACACAGGUCUCCGCUAAGUCGUAAGACGAUGUAUGGGGGCUGACGCCUGCCCAGUGCCAGAAGGUUAAAGAAGUUGGUUAGCAUUUGCGAAGCUGAUAACUGAAGCCCUGGUGAACGGCGGCCGUAACUAUAACGGUCCUAAGGUAGCGAAAUUCCUUGUCGGGUAAGUUCCGACCCGCACGAAAGGCGUAAUGAUUUGGAUACUGUCUCGGAGAGGGGCUCGGUGAAAUAGACUUGUCUGUGAAGAUGCGGACUACCUGCACCUGGACAGAAAGACCCUAUGAAGCUUUACUGUAACUUGAAAUUGAAAUUGGACUUUAUUUGCGCAGUAUAGGUGGGAGGCAUUGAGAAUAUUCUUGCGGGAAUAUUUGAGCCAUCAGUGAGAUACCACUCUUGUAAUGUUAGAUUUCUAACUUUGUAUCAUAAUCUGGUCAAAGAACAGUUUCAGGCGGGCAGUUUGACUGGGGCGGUCGCCUCCUAAAUGGUAACGGAGGCGCACAAAGGUUUCCUCUGAACGUGUAGAAAUCGUAUCUAGAGUGUAAAGGCAUAAGGAAGCUUGACUGUGAGACCUACAAGUCGAGCAGGGACGAAAGUCGGUCUUAGUGAUCUGACGGUGCUGAGUGGAAAGGCCGUCACUCAACGGAUAAAAGUUACUCUAAGGAUAACAGGCUGAUCUCCCCCAAGAGUUCACAUCGACGGGGAGGUUUGGCAUCUCGAUGUCGGCUCAUCGCAUCCUGGGGCGGUAGUACGUCCCAAGGGUUGGGCUGUUCGCCCAUGAAAGCGGUACGCGAGCUGGGUUCAGAACGUCGUGAGACAGUUCGGUCCAUAUCCGGUGUAGGCGUUAGAAUAUUGAGAGGAGCCUUCUUUAGUACGAGAGGACCGAGAAGGACAUACCUCUGGUGUACCAGUUAUCGUGCCAACGGUAAACGCUGGGUAGCUAUGUAUGGAGAGGAUAACCGCUGAAAGCAUCUAAGUGGGAAGCCCACCUCAAGAUAAG
rnacentral:rRNA from 1 species